GAGCUCUGACUUCAGCAGCACAUAUAUUAAAAUCGGAAUGAUACAAAGAAGAUUACAUUGCUCCUGCACAAGGAAGACAUGCAAAUUUUAUAGUUCAACUUAAAUGCA